ACAGUGGACGCGAGCAUCUGUGGCCAAGUUUUUAAGGGCGCACGGUGGAUGCCUUGGCACCAGGAACCGAUGAAGGACGUGGGAGGCCACGAUAGUCCCCGGGGAGUCGUCAACCAGGCUUUGAUCCGGGGGUUUCCGAAUGGGGAAACCCGGCAGUCGUCAUGGGCUGUCACCCGCUGCUGAACUCAUAGGCAGUGUGGAGGGAACGCGGGGAAGUGAAACAUCUCAGUACCCGCAGGAAGAGAAAACAACCGUGAUUCCGGGAGUAGUGGCGAGCGAAACUGGAUGAGGCCAAACCGUAUGUGUGUGAUACCCGGCAGGGGUUGCGCAUGCGGGGUUGUGGGAUCUCUCUUCCACGGUCUGCCGGCCGUGGGACGAGUCAGAAACCGUUGAUGUAGGCGAAGGACAUGCGAAAGGUCCGGCGUAGAGGGUAAGACCCCCGUAGUCG
rnacentral:rRNA from 1 species